GAGGGUAUAGCUCAAGUGGUAGAGAGCAUGCUUAGCAUGCAUGAGUUCCUGGGUUCAAGCCCCAGUACCUUCU
rnacentral:tRNA from 1 species